AUUUUUCAGGUGACAGAUUAUUUGUCUACACAUUUCCAUGACAAAGGGGGCGUGGCUUUUAGGGGCGUGGCGCACGCAGUUUAGCUCCUGUGUGAUGUGUGGAUUUUGCCGGUUCGGUCUUUAUGCUCUUUUACUCACUAGACUGAUGCUUUUACUUACAGCCACUAAAGGUACCGUGAUAUUUAAAGGGAUCUUCUGAGCUGUCGUCUUCCAUGCUGAAACGAAUGACAUCAGGCUGAGGCAAAUGGAGAUCCUGAAGAGGGACUUCAGGAUUCUGGUUGAGACAGCACAUCACCGACGAUAAAGAUCAUAGUGUCAGGACCGCUUCCCAUAUAAUGGCAAGGAUUUGAGUGCUUCAGUAGACUUUUUGCUUUAAAUUAAUAGCUACAGUCAUGGUGUCAAGAACACAAACUACACUUUGUUGAUAACUGAAAUUAUUUCUGGGAGUGUCCUAGGUUUUUUGGCCCUGAUGGCCUGCACCUCAGCAGAAUUUUAGCGGCAGUCCAACCAGACAACAUCUCAGGACGCUGCACUCCAUCUGACUGGCAUCUUGAGGUUGCGCCAGCUCCAGUCGUGUCCCACCUAAUGAAGAUUAUGGACCUUCAAAGAAGUAGAUGCCUACUUCUCCAGCUCUUGAGGCCAAAUGACACUAGGUGGAAUUCCCUUUUUCUAGCUGUGGAGAGGAUUGUGAGAAUUGUGAGGGAACAAGGAGAAAGAGCCAUUACAGCUGUCUGCAGUGCAUUAAAAAUUCCCACACACAAUGUGCAAUGUACAAUGUGACUAAC